GACGAACGCUGGCGGCGUGCCUAAUACAUGCAAGUUGAGCGCUGAAGGUUGGUACUUGUACCGACUGGAUGAGCCGCGAACGGGUGAGUAACGCGUGGGGAAUCCGCCUUUGAGCGGGGGACAACAUUUGGAAACGAAUGCUAAUACCGCAUAAAAACUUUAAACACAAGUUUUAAGGUUGAAAGAUGCAAUUGCAUCACUCAAAGAUGAUUCCGCGUUGUUUUAGCUAGUUGGUGAGGUAAAGGCGCACCAAGGCGAUGAUACAUAGCCGACCUGAGAGGGUGGUCGGCCACAUUGGGACUGAGACCCGCCCCAAACUGCUACGGGAGGCAGCAGUAGGGCAUCUUCGGCCAUGGGCGGAAGUCUGACCGAGCAACGCCGCGUGAGUGUAGAAGGUUGUCGGAUCGGAAAACUCUGUUGGUAGGGAAGAACGUGGGUGAGAGUGGAAAGCUCAUCAAGUGACGGUAACUACCCAGAAAGGGACGGCUAACUACGUG
rnacentral:rRNA from 1 species